rnacentral:rRNA from 1 species
GAUGAACGCUGGCGGCAGGCUUAAUACAUGCAAGUCGUGGGGCAGCGCAGGUAGCAAUACUGGGCGGCGACCGGCAAACGGGUGCGGAACACGUACACAACCUUCCGAGAAGUGGGGAAUAGCCCAGAGAAAUUUGGAUUAAUACCCCGUAACAUAACGAUGUGGCAUCACAUUGUUAUUAUAGCUUCGGCGCUUCUUGAUGGGUGUGCGGCUGAUUAGAUAGUUGGCGGGGUAACGGCCCACCAAGUCUACGAUCAGUAGCUGAUGUGAGAGCAUGAUCAGCCACACGGGCACUGAGACACGGGCCCGACUCCUACGGGAGGCAGCAGUAAGGAAUAUUGGUCAAUGGACGCAAGUCUGAACCAGCCAUGCCGCGUGAAGGAUUAAGGUCCUCUGGAUUGUAAACUUCUUUUAUCUGGGACGAAAAAAGGCGAUUCUUCGUCACUUGACGGUACCAGAUGAAUAAGCACCGGCUAACUCCGUGCCAGCCGCCGCCGUAA